GAUAAACGCUGGCGGCGUGCAUGAGACAUGCAAGUCGAACGGACGGACCGGUUCGCCGGUCCGUUAGUGGCGGACGGCUGAGUAACGCGUAGGUGACCUGCCCCGAAGUGGGGAAUAACUGCCCGAAAGGGUGGCUAAUACCGCAUGUGGUCGCACGUUCGGUCGUGCGAGUAAAGCCGCAAGGCGCUUCGGGAGGGGCCUGCGUCCGAUUAGCUCGUUGGUGGGGUAAUGGCUCACCAAGGCGACGAUCGGUAGGUGGUCUGAGAGGACGAUCACCCAGACUGGGACUGAGACACGGCCCAGACUCCUACGGGAGGCAGCAGUCGGGAAUUUUGCUCAAUGGGGGAAACCCUGAAGCAGCAACGCCGCGUGAGGGAUGAAGGCCUUCGGGUCGUAAACCUCUUUUGCCGAGGACGAUGAUGACGGUACUCGGUGAAUAAGCCACGGCUAACUACGUGCCAGCCGCCGCCGUAA
rnacentral:rRNA from 1 species